GGUUAAGCGACUAAGCGUACACGGUGGAUGCCCUGGCAGUCAGAGGCGAUGAAGGACGUGCUAAUCUGCGAAAAGCGUCGGUAAGGUGAUAUGAACCGUUAUAACCGGCGAUGUCCGAAUGGGGAAACCCAGUGCAAUUCGUUGCACUAUCGUUAACUGAAUACAUAGGUUAACGAGGCGAACCGGGGGAACUGAAACAUCUAAGUACCCCGAGGAAAAGAAAUCAACCGAGAUUCCCCCAGUAGCGGCGAGCGAACGGGGAGCAGCCCAGAGUCUGAAUCAGCUUGUGUGUUAGUGGAACGGUCUGGAAAGUCCGACGGUACAGGGUGAUAGUCCCGUACACCAAAAUGCACAGGUUGUGAACUCGAAGAGUAGGGCGGGACACGUGGUAUCCUGUCUGAAUAUGGGGGGACCAUCCUCCAAGGCUAAAUACUCCUGACUGACCGAUAGUGAACCAGUACCGUGAGGGAAAGGCGAAAAGAACCCCGGCGAGGGGAGUGAAAAAGAACCUGAAACCGUGUACGUACAAGCAGUGGGAGCACCUUCGGGUGUGACUGCGUACCUUUUGUAUAAUGGGUCAGCGACUUAUAUUCUGUAGCAAGGUUAACCGUAUAGGGGAGCCGCAGGGAAACCGAGUCUUAACUGGGCGUUAAGUUGCAGGGUAUAGACCCGAAACCCGGUGAUCUAGCCAUGGGCAGGUUGAAGGUUGGGUAACACUAACUGGAGGACCGAACCGACUAAUGUUGAAAAAUUAGCGGAUGACUUGUGGCUGGGGGUGAAAGGCCAAUCAAACCGGGAGAUAGCUGGUUCUCCCCGAAAGCUAUUUAGGUAGCGCCUCGUGAACUCAUCUUCGGGGGUAGAGCACUGUUUCGGCUAGGGGGUCAUCCCGACUUACCAACCCGAUGCAAACUACGAAUACCGAAGAAUGUUAUCACGGGAGACACACGGCGGGUGCUAACGUCCGUCGUGAAGAGGGAAACAACCCAGACCGCCAGCUAAGGUCCCAAAGUCAUGGUUAAGUGGGAAACGAUGUGGGAAGGCACAGACAGCCAGGAUGUUGGCUUAGAAGCAGCCAUCAUUUAAAGAAAGCGUAAUAGCUCACUGGUCGAGUCGGCCUGCGCGGAAGAUGUAACGGGGCUAAACCAUGCACCGAAGCUGCGGCAGCGACACUAUGUGUUGUUGGGUAGGGGAGCGUUCUGUAAGCCUGCGAAGGUGUGCUGUGAGGCAUGCUGGAGGUAUCAGAAGUGCGAAUGCUGACAUAAGUAACGAUAAAGCGGGUGAAAAGCCCGCUCGCCGGAAGACCAAGGGUUCCUGUCCAACGUUAAUCGGGGCAGGGUGAGUCGACCCCUAAGGCGAGGCCGAAAGGCGUAGUCGAUGGGAAACAGGUUAAUAUUCCUGUACUUGGUGUUACUGCGAAGGGGGGACGGAGAAGGCUAUGUUAGCCGGGCGACGGUUGUCCCGGUUUAAGCAUGUAGGCUGAUUGUCCAGGCAAAUCCGGAUAAUCAAGGCUGAGGUGUGAUGACGAGGCACUACGGUGCUGAAGUAACAAAUGCCCUGCUUCCAGGAAAAGCCUCUAAGCAUCAGGUAACAUUAAAUCGUACCCCAAACCGACACAGGUGGUCAGGUAGAGAAUACCAAGGCGCUUGAGAGAACUCGGGUGAAGGAACUAGGCAAAAUGGUGCCGUAACUUCGGGAGAAGGCACGCUGGUGUGUAGGUGAAGUCCCUGCGGAUGGAGCUGAGACCAGUCGAAGAUACCAGCUGGCUGCAACUGUUUAUUAAAAACACAGCACUGUGCAAACACGAAAGUGGACGUAUACGGUGUGACGCCUGCCCGGUGCCGGAAGGUUAAUUGAUGGGGUUAUCCGUAAGGAGAAGCUCUUGAUCGAAGCCCCGGUAAACGGCGGCCGUAACUAUAACGGUCCUAAGGUAGCGAAAUUCCUUGUCGGGUAAGUUCCGACCUGCACGAAUGGCGUAAUGAUGGCCAGGCUGUCUCCACCCGAGACUCAGUGAAAUUGAACUCGCUGUGAAGAUGCAGUGUACCCGCGGCAAGACGGAAAGACCCCGUGAACCUUUACUAUAGCUUGACACUGAACAUUGAGCCUUGAUGUGUAGGAUAGGUGGGAGGCUUUGAAGCGUGGACGCCAGUCUGCGUGGAGCCAACCUUGAAAUACCACCCUUUAAUGUUUGAUGUUCUAACGUUGGCCCCUGACCGGGGUUGCGGACAGUGUCUGGUGGGUAGUUUGACUGGGGCGGUCUCCUCCCAAAGCGUAACGGAGGAGCACGAAGGUUAGCUAAUCCUGGUCGGACAUCAGGAGGUUAGUGCAAUGGCAUAAGCUAGCUUGACUGCGAGCGUGACGGCGCGAGCAGGUGCGAAAGCAGGUCAUAGUGAUCCGGUGGUUCUGAAUGGAAGGGCCAUCGCUCAACGGAUAAAAGGUACUCCGGGGAUAACAGGCUGAUACCGCCCAAGAGUUCAUAUCGACGGCGGUGUUUGGCACCUCGAUGUCGGCUCAUCACAUCCUGGGGCUGAAGUAGGUCCCAAGGGUAUGGCUGUUCGCCAUUUAAAGUGGUACGCGAGCUGGGUUUAGAACGUCGUGAGACAGUUCGGUCCCUAUCUGCCGUGGGCGCUGGAGAAUUGAGGGGGCUGCUCCUAGUACGAGAGGACCGGAGUGGACGCAUCACUGGUGUUCGGGUUGUCAUGCCAAUGGCACUGCCCGGUAGCUAAAUGCGGAAGAGAUAAGUGCUGAAAGCAUCUAAGCACGAAACUUGCCCCGAGAUGAGUUCUCCCUGAGACUUUAAGUCUCCUGAAGGAACGUUGAAGACGACGACGUUGAUAGGCCGGGUGUGUAAGCGCAGCGAUGCGUUGAGCUAACCGGUACUAAUGAACCGUGAGGCUUAACCUU
rnacentral:rRNA from 1 species